rnacentral:rRNA from 1 species
UACGUAGGGGGCAAGCGUUGUCCGGAUUUAUUGGGCGUAAAGAGCGUGUAGGCGGCCUGGAGGGUCAGCUGUGAAAACUCGAGGCUCAACCUCGAGACGUCGGUUGAAACCGUAAGGCUAGAGUCCGGAAGAGGAGAGUGGAAUUCCCGGUGUAGCGGUGAAAUGCGCAGAUAUCGGGAAGAACACCCGUGGCGAAGGCGGCUCUCUGGGACGGUACUGACGCUGAGACGCGAAAGCGUGGGGAGCGAACAGG